AUGCCGAACAUGACGGUGACCAGAUCAUCCGCGGAGGACCUUCAUGCCGCUGCCGGCGAGCAGCAGCAGCCGCAGCAGCAAGCGGCGGACAAGGCGCCUCGCACCACCGAGGAGGAGCCAGCGGAUUUUACCAAUCUUUCACGGUACCAGAUGAUCAACCCGGAAUCCGUUCCAGUCCCCAAUGGUAGCGGAAGCGGCAGCGGCAGUGGCAGCGCCACCACCAGAAAGCCAGCAGAACCCGCGCCGUCACCCGCACCAAGCAUGGACGAGCAUGACGGCGACCAGGCCGUGGACGCCGACAGCUCGAGCCUCGCGUCCUACCUCGCCCACGCCUCGCUCGAGCAGCGCCGGCCAGGAGGGCGUUCGGCGUCCUCAUCCGCUGCCAUCAUGAGCGACCACCAGCUGCACAACGCCGCCGCGAACUCCUCGCGGGGACUCAACCUCGGCGGCGGGCUCUACAACUUGGCCGACCAAGCCUCCGAGGCAUCCAACAACCUCGGGGGGGCGGUCUACACCUUCGCCGCCCAAGCCUCCCAACCAUACAACAGCCUCGACGGCGGGCUCUACAACCUCACCGCCAAGGCUACCCAGGGAGCCGACCUCGGCGGCGGCGGGUUCUACAAACUCGCCGCCCAGGCCACCCAGGGAACCGACCUCGGUGGUGGCAGCAGCAGCUGCAUCACCAUCGCCGCGCCGGAAGACCCCGCACCGCUCAAGUGGGGCCGCAAGAAGCGCUCGCGCGCCCGCCGCGAGCCGCACGCACCCGCGCCCGCACCGGUGCCUACUCCCGCGCCAGCACCGGUGCUCACUCCCACCCCCGCGCCUGAGCUCGAGCUGAUCCCCGCUCAGGCACAUUGCCGGACCAUCUUAAGGCUGAAGAAACGCCCGGCAGCGCAAGGCCAGGCCCAGCCGCACGCGGAGGCGGAGAAGCUGAUGCCGCCGCCGAGCACCCGCGGCCCCGUCAUCCUCGACACAUCACCACACACUCCUCGCGCAGCCACCCUCUCGCCACUGCCACCUCGCGUCGCCACCCUCUCGCCACUGCCACCUCGCGCCGCCACCCUCUCGCAGCGCAGAUCAUCCGCGGAGGACCCUCAUGCCGCUGCCGGCGAGCAGCAGCAGCAAGCGGCGGACAAGGCGCCUCGCACCACCGAGCAGGAGCCGGCGCCCAAGGUGCAUGAGCCCAAGCCGCCGCAGCAGCAGCCGAGGCGGCAGCCGUACCGUCAGGCGGCGGACAAGGCGGCUCACGGCAGCAACGGCGAGCAGGAGCCGGCGCCCAAGGCGGAGCCUAGGACGCCACAGCCGCAGAGGCAGCAGCCGCCGCGCCAGGAGUCGAUGAAGGAGAAAGGCAAGGCGCCAAUGGUGCAGGAGCCCCCGGCGGUGGCGCCGCACGUCGCGGUGGAGGCCCUGGCCCGGCUGCCGCUGCCAUACGUCGCGACCCAGCUCACCCGCAGGGAGAAGGAGGAGGACUGGUUGGCGAUGACCGGCGGCAGGCUGCCCUACCGCCCCCUGCAGCGCCGCCCCAAGGCCGUCGAGGACAAGCUCCAGAAACUGUUCCCGGGGCAGACGCUGCCUGAGGUGACCAGGGCCCGGUACAUGGUGCGCCAGAAGAAGCAAAAGAAGCGCCCCGGCCUGCGAGCAAUGGCGGAGGAGGACGCCCUAAGCUCCAAGAGGCGCGACUCCGACGAUGACGCGGCGGGAGAAAAAAAACAUUUUGGCGUCACCGAUGCGGAGGAGCGUGGUAGCCUGAGGAAGAGGGGUUGA
rnacentral:rRNA from 1 species